rnacentral:lncRNA from 1 species
UAGUACCCCUCUUGGCCUGAAGAUCUACUUCUAUCCUAGCUAUCGCUAGGUCCAUCACCUCAGCAGGAGAGGGGCAUUCCCCAUCCCCCUGGAUGACCCAUCUUAGACGGAUAACAGCACCCUCAAGACUACUGUCCUGGCCUCCCACCACCACAUCCAUCUGCAUAGAGUCCUCCCCUUUGAGAGGCAUUAGGUCAUGCUUCCUCAAAGGCUCCAUCACCCGCUCAGAAUGCCCCUCCUCGAUUGGGCCCC